rnacentral:rRNA from 1 species
UACGUAGGUGGCAAGCGUUGUCCGGAUUUACUGGGCGUAAAGAGCGCGCAGGCGGUCGUCCAAGUCGCGUGUGAAAGCCCCCGGCUCAACUGGGGAGGGUCACGCGAUACUGGUCGACUCGAAGGCAGGAGAGGGUAGUGGGAUUCCCGGUGUAGUGGUGAAAUGCGUAGAUAUCGGGAGGAACACCAGUGGCGAAGGCGACUACCUGGCCUGUUCUUGACGCUGAGGCGCGAAAGCUAGGGUAGCAAACGGG